rnacentral:rRNA from 1 species
UACGGGGGGGGCAAGCGUUGUUCGGAAUUACUGGGCGUAAAGGGCUCGUAGGCGGCCAACUAAGUCAGACGUGAAAUCCCUAGGCUCAACCUAGGAACUGCGUCUGAUACUGGAUGGCUUGAGUUUGGGAGAGGGAUGCGGAAUUCCAGGUGUAGCGGUGAAAUGCGUAGAUAUCUGGAGGAACACCGGUGGCGAAGGCGGCAUCCUGGACCAACACUGACACUGAGGAGCGAAAGCCAGGGGAGCAAACGGG